CACAGAGCUUACUGCAGAUUCCACCAAAAAAGUAAGAAGAUCCAAAAGGGCAAGGCGUAGGGUCUGUCGGGCGGGUGUGUCCCAGUUUAAACAAAGCUGCUUUGAUGUGCUUCCCAGCGGGCAGGCACAGGAAUGCAAGGCCCUGCUCUGUCUUGCAGCCAAGAGGGAGUUAUAAACAUCCAUCUGCAAGGGAAGAUCCAUCAGCUCCUAUCAACCACACAGGAAAGAUUUACAGCACUUCUCCUUCCUGCCGCCAUGUGAAGAAAGAUGUGCUUGCUUCCCCUUCUGCUAUGAUCAUAAGUUUCUUGAGGCCUCCCCAGCCCUG
rnacentral:lncRNA from 1 species